rnacentral:rRNA from 1 species
GGCGGUUCGCCGCCGAUGACGUCGCGAGAAGUUCACUGAACCUUAUCAUUUAGAGGAAGGAGAAGUCGUAACAAGGUUUCCGUAGGUGAACCUGCGGAAGGAUCAUUGUCGAAACCUGCCCCGCAGAACGACCCGUGAACCUGUUCAUCGUGCACGGGAGCGCCGGGCGUCGCCUUUGCGGGCGGCGGCCGGUCAACCCAGCCCUGGUGCGCCACCCCUAGCGGGCGGGCGUUCCCUCGGCAAGAAAACAAACCCCGGCGCGAGAGCGCCAAGGAACAUAAACUCAGCGUGCCUGCGUCCGCGCCCGGUUAGCCGGUGCGCGUCGCGGUGCCAUGUACUAACAAUAAACGACUCUCGGCAACGGAUAUCUCGGCUCUCGCAUCGAUGAAGAACGUAGCGAAAUGCGAUACUUGGUGUGAAUUGCAGAAUCCCGUGAAUCAUCGAGUCUUUGAACGCAAGUUGCGCCCGAAGCCCUCGGGCUUAGGGCACGUCUGCCUGGGCGUCACGCAUCGCGUCUCCCCCACACCCACCCCGCGUGGGGAGGAGGAGGACGAUGGCUUCCCGUGCCUCACCGGGCGCGGCUGGCCUAAAACUGGAGACCACGGCAUCGAGCUGUCGCGGCGUAUGGUGGAGUACACGGCCCAGGCCUAAGUCAACCAGUCGCGCAGCCCCUUGUCACCGGCGCUCGAAGGACCCUCUGACGCGUCGGCUCGCCUAGCGCGGGCCGUUGCUCAAAACCGUUGCGACCCCAGGUCAGGCGGGGCUACCCGCUGAAUUAAGCAUAUCAAUAAG